GACGAACGCUGGCGGCGUGCCUAAUACAUGCAAGUUGAGCGCUGAAGGUUGGUACUUGUACCAACUGGAUGAGCAGCGAACGGGUGAGUAACGCGUGGGGAAUCUGCCUUUGAGCGGGGGAAACAUUUGGGAAACGAUUGUAAUACCGCAUAAAAAAUUUUAAAAAAAGGUUUAAGGUUGAAAAAAGCAAAUUCAACACUUAAAAAUGAUUCCGCGUUGUAUUAGCUAGUUGGUGAGGUAAAGGCUCACCAAGGCGAUGAUACAUAGCCGACCUGAGAGGGUGAUCGGCCACAUUGGGACUGAGACACGGCCCAAACUCCUACGGGAGGCAGCAGUAGGGAAUCUUCGGCAAUGGACGAAAGUCUGACCGAGCAACGCCGCGUGAGUGAAGAAGGUUUUCGGAUCGUAAAACUCUGUUGGUAGAGAAGAACGUUGGUGAGAGUGGAAAGCUCAUCAAGUGACGGUAACUACCCAGAAAGGGACGGCUAACUACGUG
rnacentral:rRNA from 1 species